rnacentral:rRNA from 1 species
AUGAUAUUUUUGCUGCUGUUCUUCAAUAUAAACUUCAUCAAGGCCUCCUUCUCGCAUACCAUCCCCAUACAACCUGGUGUCAGUGUUUACAACUUGUCUUUGGUACCUCCUGGGAGGUCCUUCUCUCUCGGGGCCGCUGUUCUAAACAUUACCGGCUGUGGCCUGGAUGUAUACUCUGUCGGAGACGAUGCCACCACAUUAAAAUGCAGCACCGAGUGCCUGGAUCCAGGAAUUCCAGAGAUGGUGGCUAUGCACAACUGUAAAAAUACCUCCGGGUGUUGUUGUGUUGAUGUGGACGGUGACGGCAGUUUUCGGUUCAAAUUUGUCUACAACCAAAGCAAAAGCAACAUUGGUGCACGCUCUAGGAAGAGCUCACAACUGUGGGAUAGAAUCAGCAUAACUAGUGAUGGGCCGACUGGCUUUCUGCUAUUGUGGCAGAUAAUUGACGAAUCCAACUGCAUUGCUGCCAAGCAAAACAAGACACACUAUGCCUGCAUCGGCAAGUAUGCCGAGUGCCAUGACAGCACAGCCAAUGUCUGUGACGUCAAAGAUGCUGAGUGCAUUGACGGAAGUCGUGGCUACAGCUGCAUGUGCAGGACUGGCUAUUCAGGCAACCCAUACACUCCGCCUGGAUGCUCGAACAAUGACAAAGGGUAUAAUCCAAUUCUGAGCAGGGCUGAUUGCCCCCGUUUGUGUGGUAACACUAGUGUGCCAUUCCCAUUUGGCUUAGAAGACGGUUGCUUUGCAACAAAACAGUUCCACCUCAACUGCACAAAUAUGACGUCAUCCGCUGCUGUCAUGUUGGGUUAUGACCAGGUUGUGAACAUAGAUAUUCACGAUGGGACCCUUAAUGUUACCAACGCUCAACUACAGUCACUAGGGGGGUACUUUACUGAUGGACUUUUCCUUACACCUUAUGGGUCGCCAUUCUCCUCUAUGCUGUGGGUUGCUGCUAAUCUAAGUUGCGCAGAGGCCCAAAAGAACAUGUCUAGAUAUGCUUGUGUCAGUAUUAACAGCACAUGUAUGGAAGUAAGCAUUGAAAGGCGCUCUGCUGGUUACCGCUGCAAAUGCUCAGAUGGGUUCCAAGGAAAUCCGUACAUCCAAAGUGGUUGUGAAGAUAUUAAUGAAUGCCUUCAACCGAACAAAUGUAGAGAAGUCUGCCAUAAUACCAAAGGAAGCUUCAGCUGUACCGAAUGUCCUCUCAAGACUGAGUAUGAUCCAUUAAAGAUGCAGUGUACUAAGAUAAACCAGCAACGUCUACUCUUAGGUACAAUUAUUGGGUUGUCUUGUGGUUUUGGCGUUCUACUUCUGAGCUUCAGUGCAGCACUUCUCAUUCGUAGAUGGAAAAAAAAUGUUCAAAAGCAAGUACGGAAGAAUUAUUUCCGGAAGAAUCAAGGUCUUCUCCUAGAAACGUUGGUAUCAUCUGAUGAAACUGCAAAUGAGUAUACAAAGAUUUUCUCGCUAGAAGAGCUGGAGAAGGCAACAAACAAUUUUGAUGCUACACGAAUCAUUGGUCGUGGGGGCCAUGGCAUGGUUUACAAAGGCCUAUUAUCUGAUCAACGUGUCGUUGCCAUAAAAAAGUCUAAGAUCAUUGAGAAGUGUGAGAUCAGUCAAUUCAUCAAUGAGGUUGCAGUCCUCUCUCAGAUAAAUCACAGAAAUAUUGUGAAGCUCUUUGGAUGUUGUCUCGAAACUGAGGUUCCAUUGCUGGUGUAUGACUAUGUAUCCAGUGGCUCACUAUCUCAAGUUCUUCAUGCUGAUUCAACUGAUGGUUUUCCUUUGUCCUGGGGUGAUUACUUAAGGAUUGCCCUGGAAACAGCAGGAGCUCUGUCUUAUCUCCACUCUUCAGCUUCAAUAUCAAUCUUCCAUCGUGACGUGAAGUCCUCAAAUAUACUCUUGGAUAGGAACUACAUAACUAAAGUCUCAGAUUUUGGUGCAUCCAGACUGGUUCCGAUUGAUCAAACACACAUUGUCACGAAUGUGCAAGGUACAUUUGGAUAUUUAGAUCCAGAGUAUUUCCAUACCAGGCAGCUGAACGGGAAGAGCGAUGUGUAUAGUUUUGGUGUGGUACUAGUGGAGUUGCUUCUCCGAAAGAAGCCUGUUUUUACAAGUGAAUCAGGCACCAUCAUGGGCUUGUCAAGCUAUUUUCUCCAGGAGUUCAGUGAGGGGAGAAUCAUGGGUAUUGUUAGUUCCCAGGUCCUGGAGGAGGCAACUGAGGAAGAGAUCAAUGAUGUCGCCUCUCUUGCAGAGCGGUGCUUAAGACUGCAUGGUGAAGAAAGGCCCACCAUGAAACAGGUGGAGACGGAACUGCAGAACCUACGGGCAAAACAGAUGGAAUCAUCUCAGGCAGAUCCGAGGAAUGAAGAUCAGAUGCAACCAAGGUCAUUAACUCAAAGGACUAGAGCUGCUUGCCAAUCUUCUGCGGCGGGAUUGGGCGAGAGAGCCGGAGUGCAGUCAGGAGGCUGUUAUAGCUUGGAGGUAGAGUUCAUGGCAUCUGCUAGCAUUCCACGCUAG